AUCUCUUGGUUCCAGCAUCGAUGAAGAACGCAGCGAAAUGCGAUAAGUAAUGUGAAUUGCAGAAUUCAGUGAAUCAUCGAAUCUUUGAACGCACAUUGCGCCCCUCGGUAUUCCGGGUGGCAUGCCUGUUCGAGCGUCAUU
rnacentral:rRNA from 2 species